AACGAACGCUGGCGGCAGGCUUAACACAUGCAAGUCGAACGCCCCGCAAGGGGAGUGGCAGACGGGUGAGUAACGCGUGGGAACAUACCCUUUCCUGCGGAAUAGCUCUGGGAAACUGGAAUUAAUACCGCAUACGCCCUACGGGGGAAAGAUUUAUCGGGGAAGGAUUGGCCCGCGUUGGAUUAGCUAGUUGGUGGGGUAAAGGCCUACCAAGGCGACGAUCCAUAGCUGGUCUGAGAGGAUGAUCAGCCACAUUGGGACUGAGACACGGCCCAAACUCCUACGGGAGGCAGCAGUGGGGAAUCUUGCGCAAUGGGCGAAAGCCUGACGCAGCCAUGCCGCGUGAAUGAUGAAGGUCUUAGGAUUGUAAAAUUCUUUCACCGGGGACGAUAAUGACGGUACCCGGAGAAGAAGCCCCGGCUAACUUCGUGCCAGCCGCCGCCGUAACAC
rnacentral:rRNA from 1 species